GUAGAGAUCUCACCUGGUGAUGGUUCAGUCAUCAGAUCUAAUGGAGUUCUAGCCAAUUACUUCACACAUUACAAAGCUGGAGCUGCUCACAGAGAUGCAAGACAACUCUCUGUAGUGUUCACUUUGACAUUCAGUGAAUUAAAGGUAGAGUGUAUACAUUUGCUGUGUGAUUCAGAAGAUUUCACAGUUGAUUUUGGUGUGUUCUCAGGCUGUGGAGUGUGUGUAUUACCUGUGUGGUCUCCCACCUGACAUACCGGGUCAGCUGUAUUCUGUCCAAUCUGUCGUCACACGGGCCAGCAGGGGCAGGAAUAUCUUCCACCACCUCCCAACUGAACAUCAACCUUGACUCAAGACAGAAACCAGACCGUCUCACAGGUGGUGCCAGCUCAGUUUGCCAGAUAGGCACCAAACUCUUCUCCAAGUUGAGACAGACCAAACUUAUCAAAGGUGUGUGUCUGCAGUAGUGCCUUGGUGUGACUGGGUAAAACAGACAGAUCAGAGCAUGAGUGCAGUGGGUGUGGCUCUCUCAGACUCCGCCCAUUCUGACACACGUCAGCCAAUAACAUGCAGAUCUGUUGUUUCUGAACUGGAAAAGAUCAAGAGGUUUAACUUUUUGUUGGAGAACAGCCCCGUCCUGCGUCCUACAGGAAGAUCUUUGAGCUGUGACCGACCUGAGAUCAAACUCACAGAGAUCUGCAUCUCUGAGGUGCUGCAGAAAACCUCCAAAGCCAUACAGGACAUUGACACACUUUUAUCAGACAGACCGUAGGAUUGGAUGCAGACAUAUUAUUUAGGGAAAUGAAAAACAUGGCUGUAAGGGACAGACAUACACAAAACUCACUAAACCUGGCAAGAACAUG